rnacentral:rRNA from 1 species
CACCGUAAACCGACACAGGUAGGUGAGGAGAGAAUCCUAAGGCCGACGGGAGAAGCAUUGUUAAGGAACUCGGCAAAAUGACUCCGUAACUUCGGGAGAAGGAGUGCCAGUGAGAGCUGGCCGCAGAGAAUUGGCCCAAGCAACUGUUUAGCAAAAACACAGGUCUAUGCAAAACCGUAAGGUGAAGUAUAUGGGCUGACGCCUGCCCGGUGCUGGAAGGUUAAGGGGAGAGGUUAGCGCAAGCGAAGCUUUGAACUUAAGCCCCAGUAAACGGCGGCCGUAACAAUAACGGUCCUAAGGUAACGAAAUUCCUUGUCGGGUAAGUUCCGACCCGCACGAAAGGCGAAAUGAUUUGGGCACUGUCUCAACAAUGCACCCGGUGAAAUUGAAAUACCAGUGAAGAUGCUGGUUACCUGCGCCAGGACGGAAAGACCCCAUGGAGCUUUACUCCAGCUUGAUACUGGGAUUCGAUAUUGUAUGUACAGGAUAGGUGGGAGGCGAAGAAGCAUUGACGCCAGUUGAUGCGGAGCCGCUGUUGGGAUACCACCCUUGCAGUAUUGGAUUUCUAACCAGCAGCCGUGACCCGGCUGGGGGACAAUGUCAGGUGGGGAGUUUGACUGGGGCGGUCGCCUCCGAAAGGGUAUCGGAGGCGCUCAAAGGUUCCCUCAGAAUGGUUGGAAACCAUUCGAAGAGUGCAAAGGCAGAAGGGAGCUUGACUGCGACACCGACGGGUGGAGCAGGUACGAAAGUAGGACUUAGUGAUCCGGUGGUAUAAAGUGGGAUUGCCAUCGCUCAACGGAUAAAAGCUACCCUGGGAUAACAGGCUUAUCACUCCCAAGAGUUCACAUCGACGGAGUGGUUUGGCACCUCGAUGUCGGCUCAUCGCAUCCUGGGGCUGAAGUAGGUCCCAAGGGUUGGGCUGUUCGCCCAUUAAAGCGGUACGCGAGCUGGGUUCAGAACGUCGUGAGACAGCUCGGUCCCUAUCCGGCGUGGGCGUAGGAUAUUUGAGAGGAGCUGGCCUUAGUACGAGAGGACCGGGCUGGACUGACCGCUGGUGUAUCUGUUGUUCCGCCAGGAGCAUGGCAGAGUAGCCAAGUCAGGAAGGGAUAAACGCUGAAGGCAUCUAAGCGUGAAGCCCCCCUCAAGAUGAGAUAUCCCAGCGCAAGUUGUAAGACCCCUUGAAGACGACAAGGUAGAUAGGGCAGAGGUGGAAGUGCAGUAAUGCAUGGAGCUGACUGUUACUAAUCGGUCGAGGGCAUAACC